rnacentral:tRNA from 1 species
GGGGAUAUGGCGAAAUUGGUAGACGCUACGGACUUAAAUCCGUCGACUUUAGAAAUCGUGAGGGUUCGAGUCCCUCUAUCCCCA